GAAUUGGUCCGAAAGGGCCAUGUGUAUCCUUACGUUCACUGUGAACAAAUCAGGACGCUUAGAGUAUGGUUACAGGAAUGACUCAGCGCAGUAUGAUAUCUUUGUUUUUUUCGGAAAACAAGCUCAAAGAGAGCCAUCGGGGGUAGAUCUAUCCCAUGACGAGUGGUGGAAUACGGUGACUCAUGGGAGAGAAUCGGAGGCGAAGGCGUCUACCUAGAGGGUUUCUGUCGAUCAAGGGCGAGAGUAGGAGUAUCCAACAGGAUUAGAGACCCUGGUAGUUCCUACUGUAAACGAUGCCGACAGGAGUUUGUCAUUUGCUAAUGGCAGAAUCUUUAGAGAAAUCAUAGUUCUUGGGCUCUGGGGGAACUACGACCGCAAGGCUGAAACUUGAAGGAAUUGACGGAAGGGCACACCAGGGGUGGAGCCUGUGGCUUAAUUUGAAUCAACACGGGGAAACUUACCAGGACCAGAUGUUUUUUAUGACUGACAGGCUUAAGGUCUUUCAGGAUAUGAUUUUUGGUGGUGCAU
rnacentral:rRNA from 1 species